AGAGUUUGAUCAUGGCUCAGGAUGAACGCUAGCGACAGGCCUAACACAUGCAAGUCGAGGGGUAACAGGGAAGCUUGCUUCCGCUGACGACCGGCGCACGGGUGAGUAACGCGUAUGCAACCUACCUUACACAGGGGGAUAGCCCAGAGAAAUCUGGAUUAAUACCGCAUAAUAUGAAUGCUUCGCAUGGAGUAUUUAUUAAAAUUUCGAUGGUGUAAGAUGGGCAUGCGUAGUACUAGUUAGUAGGUGAGGUAACGGCUCACCUAGACGAUGACACUUAGGGGGUCUGAGAGGAUAGUCCCCCACACUGGUACUGAGACACGGACCAGACUCCUACGGGAGGCAGCAGUGAGGAAUAUUGGUCAAUGGGCGCAAGCCUGAACCAGCCAUGUCGCGUGCAGGAUGACGGCCCUAUGGGUUGUAAACUGCUUUUGUAUGGGAAUAACCGCAUCUACGUGUAGAUGCCUGAACGUACCAUACGAAUAAGG
rnacentral:rRNA from 1 species